rnacentral:lncRNA from 1 species
CGUCUCUGUCUUUGGCUCCACAGCGAGUUCUGCUUCCAGGAUCUUCUCCACGGGCAUGUCCUCGUUGGCGCUACUUGUGGACUCCACCUCGUUCUCGUUGCGGUCCUUCCCCCGCUGCCUCUCCUCCUGCACAGCUUCCCUCUUCAUCCCCAUGGCAAGACACUUCUGGUAGCGGCAGUACUGGCAGCGGUUGCGCUGGCGCUUGUCGAUCAAGCAGUCCUUGUUGUCACGGCAGGUGUAGGUCAGGUCCUUCCUCACCGUGCGUUUGAAGAAGCCUUUGCAGCCCUCGCAGCUG